rnacentral:rRNA from 1 species
AUGGCAGCUGCCGCAUGCUGGUCCUCGCUCCCGUCCGACCUCAUCAACCGCAUCACCGAUUGCCUCCUAGCCACAAAUGAUAUCGACUGCUACGUAGACUUCCGCGCUGUCUGCAGCAACUGGCGCUCCGCCACCGUCAACCCCAUGAACACCUCCGGCCUCUGCUUCCGCCCCCGACUCUGGAUCAUGCUCGACGAGGUCUUUGAGAACUAUGCACGCAUCUUGGUGAACACCGCCACCGGCCGCGUCAUCCGGAAGGACUUGCCUCUGCUGCGCAACUACUAUGUUAUCGCCACCACUGCCGGCGGCUUCUUCGUCCUGGCGGACAGGAAGUACCAUCACGCCGCGCGUCUUCUCAAUCCUUUCACAGGCCACUUGAUCCGUUUCAAGGCGCCCGUGCCUUUCGAGCUGGACGUUGCUGCUGCUGUCUCCGGUCCUUCGCCCACCCUCAUCUUGAUUUCUGACAGAUCUCGCAGGCAGUACAGGGCUGAUCCUUCCAGUGAAUGUUUCGCCGUGUACGAGGACCAGUACACUUAUCCUGUGACCCGGCUGGCUGUCCUAGGUGGUAUGUACGCCGACGGCGUGCAAGGAUCAUUGCCGCCGAUUCCAGAUGUUGUGGCUAAGAAGAUCUUCCAUCUGAUGGGGAUGUUUGGCGUCGAACCAUCUGAGAUGUACUCUGACGAUCUCAUUGAUAAUUUUGCUGGCUAUAUUCCUCAGAUGAUACAUGCCAACCGGUGUUUCCUAGUGAAGUUCGACGGAGAAGUGUUUGUUAUAUUUAAGCUGCGGCAUCACAUGGAGGUUUUCAAGAUGGACACUGAGAGGGACUUGCUCGAACCUGUGAAGAGCAUCGGCAACCUUGUCAUCUUCAUUGGUUAUCGUAGGUGCCUGAUUGUGAAUGCUGAGAAGUUCACAUCUAUUGACGCCAACUGCAUCUACUACAUAAGAUCCAUUGAUUACUCCAUUCAUAUCUACUCCCUUCUUUUCGGUUUAUAA